rnacentral:tRNA from 1 species
CGGCAGCUGGCCGAGUGGGUCGGCGUGGGCGGUUUCGGCCCGAUCACCGUCGGUUCGGGCGCCGAGGUAGCCGA